rnacentral:rRNA from 1 species
AUUGAACGCUGGCGGCAGGCCUAACACAUGCAAGUCGAGCGGAUGAAGGGAGCUUGCUCCUGGAUUCAGCGGCGGACGGGUGGGUAAUGCCUAGGAAUCUGCCUGGUAGUGGGGGAUAACGUCCGGAAACGGGCGCUAAUACCGCAUACGUCCUGAGGGAGAAAGUGGGGGAUCUUCGGACCUCACGCUAUCAGAUGAGCCUAGGUCGGAUUAGCUAGUUGGUGGGGUAAAGGCCUACCAAGGCGACGAUCCGUAACUGGUCUGAGAGGAUGAUCAGUCACACUGGAACUGAGACACGGUCCAGACUCCUACGGGAGGCGGCAGUGGGGAAUAUUGGACAAUGGGCGAAAGCCUGAUCCAGCCAUGCCGCGUGUGUGAAGAAGGUCUUCGGAUUGUAAAGCACUUUAAGUUGGGAGGAAGGGCAGUAAGUUAAUACCUUGCUGUUUUGACGUUACCAACAGAGUAAGCACCGGCUAACUUCGUG